rnacentral:miRNA from 1 species
AACAAUGAAAUGUCACUCACCUCGAUUUGGGAAAAGUGGGAAAAUUUCCCAAAUCGAGGUGAGUGACAUUUCAUUGUAAUU